UGUUGAACUUCAUGGGGAUCAAGAUAGAAAACUUUAUCAUCUUGCGCGCCAACAAGAUACGUAGAAGCACCGGGCCUACCGCCUAAAAUCCCGAGGCUCUGUGGAAAGGUAAAUGUGGCAGCCAACAAAGGUAGAUACCUGGGUUUACUUUGUCAAGACCAAGAACCAAAGGAACCAGCAAGAGGAUAGGUGACCAUUCAGUUUGGUUUUUUUGAAAUUCGGAACAAUUUCUUGAUGCAUCUUCAAUGCAAAGAACCGGUGCACCACCGCGUUCACCGUCUUCGUCUCCAGAGACGACAUAAAUGGCCAUUGGAAAUGACUUAUCUUGAAGUCCCUCUUUCUCUAUUUUAGAACGUAUAAGUGUUUCCCACCUGCGACACAUGGCGUAUGG
rnacentral:lncRNA from 1 species